ACGCUCCUGUUUCUCUUCAUAUCGUAUAAAUCUUUCGCCUUUUACUAAAGAUUUCCGUGGAGAGGAGCUGCAAGAGUUUCUACCAAUUUUCUGAUGCCCUGCAGCAAUGUGGGGCU